GGGAUGAUGACGGUAAUAGGUCCUCACUCACGUUAGGUAUACAAUUAUUUUCCUUCUGCCAUGCGUCUGUGAAGGUAUUUUCCAUAAACUUAUUUUGGCUCAGAAUAACCUUUUCUGAUAUGAUCACAUAUCUGUGGCUUAAAGAGAAACAGAAGGCUCAGAACCAUAUCCCAUAUCUCUGGCUGACUGAAGAGACCUCCCAUGCGGGCCCCCAGCAACCCAGCCAUCAGGAGAGGGUGUGUCCGCAGCUGUACAGGAUACGAGGCUGUAGUGUCAAGUGUGUGAACACCUGUUGUAGAGUCUAUCAGUAGAUGGUGUUCCUAUUGAAGCUAGGACGAGGCUUUGGGUAUCACUGGCCCAAACAAACACGCCAGCC
ensembl:lncRNA